GGGACGAAUGCUGGCGGCGUGCUUAACACAUGCAAGUCGAGCGGUAAGGCCUUUCGGGGUACACGAGCGGCGAACGGGUGAGUAACACGUGGGUGAUCUGCCCUGCACUCUGGGAUAAGCCUGGGAAACUGGGUCUAAUACCGGAUAUGACCUGCUCUCGCAGUGGGGGGUGGGUAGGAAAAGAUUUUAGUCGGGUGCGAAGGAGUCGGGGCCCCGCGGCCUAUCGAGUCUUUGGUUGGGUGGGGUAAUGGCCCUACCGAAAGGCCGACGGACGGGUAGCCGACCGUGAGAGGGUCGACCGGCCACACGUGGGACUGAGACGACGGCCCAGACCUCCGUACGGGAGGCAGCAGGUAGGGAAUAUUGCAACGAAGUGGGACGAAAG
rnacentral:rRNA from 1 species